rnacentral:rRNA from 1 species
AUGAACGCUGGCGGUAUGCUUAACACAUGCAAGUCGAACGGUGUUUUCGGACACAGUGGCGGACGGGUGAGUAACGCGUGAGAAUCUAGCUUCAGGUCGGGGACAACCACUGGAAACGGUGGCUAAUACCGGAUGUGCCGGAAGGUGAAAGGCUUGCUGCCUGAAGAUGAGCUCGCGUCUGAUUAGCUAGUAGGUGGGGUAAGAGCCUACCUAGGCGACGAUCAGUAGCUGGUCUGAGAGGAUGAUCAGCCACACUGGGACCUGAGACACGGCCCAGACUCCUACGGGAGGCAGCAGUGGGGAAUUUUCCGCAAUGGGCGAAAGCCUGACGGAGCAAUACCACGUGAGGGAGGAAGGCUCUUGGGUUGUAAACCUCUUUUCUCAAGGAAGAACACAAUGACGGUACUUGAGGAAUCAGCAUCGGCUAACUCCGUGCCAGCAGCCGCGGUAAUACGGAGGAUGCAAGCGUUAUCCGGAAUGAUUGGGCGUAAAGCGUCCGCAGGUGGUGAUGUAAGUCUGCUGUCAAAGCGUCUAGCUCAACUAGAUACAGGCAGUGGAAACUACAUGACUAGAGUGCGUUCGGGGCAGAGGGAAUUCCUGGUGUAGCGGUGAAAUGCGUAGAUAUCAGGAAGAACACCGGUGGCGAAAGCGCUCUGCUAGGCCGCAACUGACACUGAGGGACGAAAGCUAGGGGAGCGAAUGGGAUUAGAUACCCCAGUAGUCCUAGCCGUAAACGAUGGAUACUAGGCGUGGCUUGUAUCGACCCGAGCCGUGCCGUAGCUAACGCGUUAAGUAUCCCGCCUGGGGAGUACGCACGCAAGUGUGAAACUCAAAGGAAUUGACGGGGGCCCGCACAAGCGGUGGAGUAUGUGGUUUAAUUCGAUGCAACGCGAAGAACCUUACCAAGACUUGACAUGUCGCGAAUCUUCUUGAAAGGGAAGAGUGCCUUCGGGAGCGCGAACACAGGUGGUGCAUGGCUGUCGUCAGCUCGUGUCGUGAGAUGUUGGGUUAAGUCCCGCAACGAGCGCAACCCUCGUUUUUAGUUGCCAGCAUUAAGUUGGGCACUCUAGAGAGACUGCCGGUGACAAACCGGAGGAAGGUGGGGAUGACGUCAAGUCAGCAUGCCCCUUACGUCUUGGGCUACACACGUACUACAAUGCUACGGACAGAGGGCAGCAAGCCGGCAACGGCAAGCAAAUCCCGUAAACCGUAGCUCAGUUCAGAUCGCAGGCUGCAACUCGCCUGCGUGAAGGAGGAAUCGCUAGUAAUUGCAGGUCAGCAUACUGCAGUGAAUUCGUUCCCGGGCCUUGUACACACCGCCCGUCACACCAUGGAAGCUGGCAACGCCCGAAGUCAUUACUCCAACGAUUCGUCGGGGAGGAUGCCUAAGGCAGUGCUGGUGACUGGGGUG